rnacentral:rRNA from 1 species
AGAGUUUGAUCAUGGCUCAGGAUGAACGCUGGCGGCGUGCCUAACACAUGCAAGUCGAGCGAUCUUCUUCGGAAGAGAGCGGCGGACGGGUGAGUAACGCGUGGGUAACCUGCCUCAUACACAUGGAUAACAUACCGAAAGGUAUGCUAAUACAAGAUGAUAUAAGAGAUUCGCAUGGAUUUCUUAUCAAAGCUCCGGCGGUAUGAGAUGGACCCGCGUCUGAUUAGCUAGUUGGUAAGGUAACGGCUUACCAAGGCGACGAUCAGUAGCCGACCUGAGAGGGUGAUCGGCCACAUUGGAACUGAGACACGGUCCAAACUCCUACGGGAGGCAGCAGUGGGGAAUAUUGCACAAUGGGCGAAAGCCUGAUGCAGCAACGCCGCGUGAGCGAUGAAGGCCUUCGGGUCGUAAAGCUCUGUCCUCAAGGAAGAUAAUGACGGUACUUGAGGAGGAAGCCCCGGCUAACUACGUGCCAGCAGCCGCGGUCAAUACGUAGGGGGCUAGCGUUAUCCGGAUUUACUGGGCGUAAAGGGUGCGUAGGUGGUUUCUUAAGUCAGGAGUGAAAGGCUACGGCUCAACCGUAGUAAGCUCUUGAAACUGGGAAACUUGAGUGCAGGAGAGGAAAGUGGAAUUCCUAGUGUAGCGGUGAAAUGCGUAGAUAUUAGGAGGAACACCAGUAGCGAAGGCGGCUUUCUGGACUGUAACUGACACUGAGGCACGAAAGCGUGGGGAGCAAACAGGAUUAGAUACCCUGGUAGUCCACGCCGUAAACGAUGAGUACUAGGUGUCGGGGGUUACCCCCCUCGGUGCCGCAGCU